UGCUUUCAGUUUUCGGGAGAAAAAAUUUUCUUCUUGGCUUCAAUUUCGAGUUGGCCAAUGAAAACUCCCUGGACCGUUCGCCAGGAAAACUGCAAAUAAUCUUUGCAGCCUUUUCUGAAAGUGUUGCCUUUGGAAGCUGAAAAACCCUCCCGACUACGGGAAAUAGAGAGAACUACAUUG